rnacentral:rRNA from 1 species
GGGUUGAUAGGCCGGAAGUGGAAGCGAAGCGAUUCGUGGAGCUGACCGGUACUAAUAGGCCGAGGAUUUAACUACA